GAUGAACGCUGGCGGCGUGCCUAAUACAUGCAAGUCGAGCGAAUGGAUUAAGAGCUUGCUCUUAUGAAGUUAGCGGCGGACGGGUGAGUAACACGUGGGUAACCUGCCCAUAAGACUGGGAUAACUCCGGGAAACCGGGGCUAAUACCGGAUAACAUUUUGAACCGCAUGGUUCGAAAUUGAAAGGCGGCUUCGGCUGUCACUUAUCGAUGGCCCCGCGUCGCAUUAGCUAGUUGGUGAGGUAAAUGCUCACCAAGGCAACGAUGCGUAGCCGACCUGAGAGGGUGAUCGGCCACACUGGGACUGAGACACGGCCCAGACUCCUACGGGAGGCAGCAGUAGGGAAUCUUCCGUAAUGGACGAAAGUCUGACGGAGCAACGCCGCGUGAGUGAUGGAGGCUUUCGGGUCGUAAAACUCUGUUGUUAGGGAAGAACAAGUGCUAGUUGAAUAAGCUGGCACCUUGACGGUACCUAACCAGAAAGCCACGGCUAACUACGUGCCAGCCGCCGCGGUAA
rnacentral:rRNA from 1 species